CUUGUCUGUGAUGUUUUCACCCCAUAUUUCGAGUUUCAGUGACCAUGAGAAAACUUUACAUGCACUACCAUCUGAGACAUC
rnacentral:snoRNA from 1 species